UGAACGCUGGCGGCGUGCCUAAUACAUGCAAGUCGAGCGAACGGACGAGAAGCUUGCUUCUCUGAUGUUAGCGGCGGACGGGUGAGUAACACGUGGAUAACCUACCUAUAAGACUGGGAUAACUUCGGGAAACCGGAGCUAAUACCGGAUAAUAUUUUGAACCGCAUGGUUCAAAAGUGAAAGACGGUCUUGCUGUCACUUAUAGAUGGAUCCGCGCUGCAUUAGCUAGUUGGUAAGGUAACGGCUUACCAAGGCAACGAUGCAUAGCCGACCUGAGAGGGUGAUCGGCCACACUGGAACUGAGACACGGUCCAGACUCCUACGGGAGGCAGCAGUAGGGAAUCUUCCGCAAUGGGCGAAAGCCUGACGGAGCAACGCCGCGUGAGUGAUGAAGGUCUUCGGAUCGUAAAACUCUGUUAUUGGGGAAGAACAUAUGUGUAAGUAACUGUGCACAUCUUGACGGUACCUAAUCAGAAAGCCACGGCUAACUACGUG
rnacentral:rRNA from 1 species